ACCUACGGGAGGCAGCAGUGAGGAAUAUUGGUCAAUGGGCGAGAGCCUGAACCAGCCAAGUCGCGUGAGGGAGUACUGCCCUAUGGGUUGUAAACCUCUUUUGUCGGGGAGCAAAAGCCGGACGUGUCCGGCUGUGAGAGUACCCGAAGAAAAAGCAUCGGCUAACUCCGUGCCAGCAGCCGCGGUAAUACGGAGGAUCCGAGCGUUAUCCGGAUUUAUUAGGUUUAAAGGGUGCGUAGGCGGUUUGAUAAGUUAGAGGUGAAAUGUCGGGGCUCAACCCCGAAACUGCCUCUAAUACUGUUGGG
rnacentral:rRNA from 1 species